GGGCUUGGCUCCCCGCGGCACGGGAUUUAGCGUUCGCGCUCCUUCCCUUCCCGUGGUCGAGCCGACACCAGAGCCUGGUCCGCUGUUCUCAGCUGUUUGCCGUCUGCGCAGGACCUCAUAGGUGGGCCUGGGAAACGCAGUCCAUUGUCUCUCCUGGCCAAGUGCACUGCCACAGUCCUGGCUUUCACAUGGUGGCCUCAGGAUGCUGUCAUCCCAGGGGCCUCAGGAAGGCCUCUCUUGAGACAUGGAGAGGUCCUGACCUGAGGGCUGCAUCAAGAUCUUGUCAUUCCACAUCGUGGUUUCCUUUGAGGAUGUGGCUGUACCCCUCUCCCAGGAGGAGUGGGACUGUCUGAUCCCUGCUCAGAGGGGCCUCUACAAGGAUGUGAUGAUGGGGACCUAUGGGAACCUACUCUCAUUAGUAGGUGAAUGGUUAAGCAAACUGUGGUACAUCCAUACCAUGGGAUACGACUCAACAAUCAAAAGGAACUGCCCAGACUUCACCACGAUGCAAUAUAUGCAUGUAAGAAAUCUGCACUUAUACCCCCUAAAUAUAUAAAACAUUUUUAAAAGAAAAA
rnacentral:lncRNA from 10 species